GGUUCUAUGGUGUAAUUGUUGGCACUCAGGACUCUGAAUCCUGUGAUCCGAGUUCAAAUCUCGGUAGGACCU
rnacentral:tRNA from 1 species